rnacentral:rRNA from 1 species
UGGCGGCAAUAGCGCGGUGGUCCCACCUGACCCCAUGCCGAACUCAGAAGUGAAACGCCGUAGCGCCGAUGGUAGUGUGGGGUCUCCCCA